GUCUUAUUGAUAUUAAUUUUAAGUCAGACCUGCUCUAUGAUUUAUAAUUAAAUGGCCGCAGUAUCUUGACUGUGCAAAGGUAGCAUAAUCAUUAGUUUUUUAAUUGAAAGCUUGUAUGAAAGGUUUAAUGAAAAAAAAACUGUCUCUAUUUAAAUUAUUUAAAAUUUUAUUAUUAAGUAAAAAAGCUUAAAUAUAUAUAGAAGACGAGAAGACCCUAUAGAGUUUUAUAAUUAUUUAUAUAAAUAAAUUAUAGUAUAAAAAUAUUUUAUAUUUAUUCAUUAUUUAAUUGGGGUGAUUAAAAAAUUUAAUAAACUUUUUUUUUAUAACAUUACUUAUAAGUAAAUUGUUUGAUCCUUUAUAAGAUUAUAAGAUAAAAUUACCUUAGGGAUAACAGCGUAAUUUUUUAAAAAGUUCUUAUUAAAAAAAAAGAUUGCGACCUCGAUGUUGGAUUAAAAUAAAUUAUUGGUGAAGAAGCUUAUAAAUUAAGUCUGUUCGACUUUUAAAAUUUUACAUGAUCUGAGUUUAAACCGGUGUGAG
rnacentral:rRNA from 1 species